rnacentral:rRNA from 1 species
UAGGGAAUCUUCGGCAAUGGACGAAAGUCUGACCGAGCAACGCCGCGUGAGUGAAGAAGGUUUUCGGAUCGUAAAACUCUGUUGUUAGAGAAGAACAAGGGUGAGAGUAACUGUUCACCCCUUGACGGUAUCUAACCAGAAAGCCACGGCUAACUACGUGCCGG